GAAGACAUCAUUGGAAGGAUCCGAACAAAACAAACGCGCUUUUUCUGAAGUGAACAAAACACAAAUUCAAUAUACAGUGAAAUAAGCAAAUCAAAUAUUCAAAACACAAAUUUAAUACACAAAGAUUAAAGUGAACAACAAUUCAACAAUCACUUGGAGAAUAACUUGGAGAGCAUAUCCCCCACAAUCACAACAUUCAACACCAUACAACACAAGAAGGAAAAAUCAUACGCAAAACAGAGAAAUGGCUCCAACCACCAUUAAGACUUUAAAUGCUCACUGGAACUCUAUAAUAGCGAAUAAACCUAAAUACUGCAAGGCGGCCGGAAUGUUUAGUGCAAACAAAAAACUCCUCUGCAUUACUUUCAAUUACUCCGAAAAGUAAUAGAACAGUAAUGCAAAGAAGAUAAGCCGACCGAAACCAACUUCACUAAUUUUUACAACACAACA